CAGCCUUCAGCCCUUAAUUUCUGGAAGACGACAGCCCCUCCGGAGGGCAGGUACGUGCGAGAAGGGCGCUUUCGCAUCGAGGAGAGGACGCUGGCGGCGUUCCAGUGGCUGCACUCGCCGCAGCAGCACCGCAUCGUCAGCCGGGCAGACCUGGGCUCCCCCAGCAGGUACGGGGCUGGGGC
rnacentral:lncRNA from 12 species